rnacentral:lncRNA from 1 species
CUUGCUGGUUUACUUGCAGAGAAAGUAAAGAGUACUCAGAUUAAGAAGACAGCAUUUGCUUCUACAACCUUGCCACAGCCUGACAUCAAGUUUCAGGCCAAGUUGAGGGUUUUCUUUUCUUUAUUUUUUUUAAGUUUAUUUAUUUAUUUUCAAAGAGAGAGAGAGAGAGAGCCAGUGCAAGAGCAGGAGAGGGGCAGAGAGAGAAGGAGAGAAAAUCCCAAGCAGGCUCCAUGCUGUCAGUGCAGAGCCUGAUGAGGGCUCCAUCCCCAGAACCACAAGAUCAUGACCUGAGCCAAAAUUGAGAGUCAGGCGCUUAACUUACGAAGCCACUCAGACGCCCCCAAGUUGAGGGUUUUCUAACAAAAAUAUUCUCAGUCUUUGUGGAUAACCAGAUCCAUUAGAGAAUCUGUAGUACUUAUAGUCUGUGUAAGAAUUCAAAAGCAUGGAAUGGAGACAUUUACAAGUAUGGUUGACCAUUACAGGUCCUGUGGUGUGAAAACCCACAUGAAACCAGAUGAACGUUAGGUAAAUAUUCUUUCUUAGAGGUUCAGCUGUAUAAACUAAAACUAGGAAUGAUGAAGAAGAAGAAAGGAAGAAGGAAUCCAUGUUCCUUAGUGGACACAGAAGUGAAGAGCAGCCAGCUAAAUUAACCUGGAUUGAUGAAUGAUAAUUAAAGAAUUAUCAAUUGAAGAUACAUUUUUAUGCCAUUUUUCAAGAUUAUACUGGAUGACUAUUGUGAAACACCAAAGAAAACACUCCAGGAAUUCUGAAACAAACAAACAAAAUGCGCAGAUGUAUGAGACACCAAAGAGGAAUUAUGUCAAAUCAAAUUAUUUAUUAUUUGAUCUUAAAAGAUGAUCAAGAGGAGCAAAUGUCCAAUGUUUAAAUUCUAGGACCGAAAAUAAAUAUUUCAGAAGACUCUCA